rnacentral:lncRNA from 1 species
AUGUGUCGUCACAUGGUCGUCUCGCCAACUAUUGCUCUUGCAACUAUUGCUAUCGCAUAGCGAUAAUUGUAAAGCAAUUAUUUGGCGCUUGCAUCUUAUGCAAUAAAGAGACAACCAUAAGGCUUCUGCCAGUUGCCGAUAACUUCAACAAAACAUGAUCAUCUUAUACAACAACUUAUAUCUCAUCACGUCUUGACCAUAUCACAUCACAGCAUGCCCUGCAAAAACAAGUUAGACGUCCUCUACUUUGUUGUUGCAAGUUUUACGUGGCUGCUACGGGCUUAGCAAGAACCGUUCUUACCUACGCAUCAAAACCACAACGAU